GAGGGGGUGCAAACGUUAUUCGGAUUUAUUGGGUGUAAAGGGUGUGUAGAUGGCCUAUUAAGUUUGUUGUUAAAUCUUCCGGGCCUAACCGGGAAGCUCGCGAUGAAAACUGAUAGACUUGAGGAUGGAAGAGAGAAGUGGAAUUCUCGGAGUAGCGGUAAAAUGCGUAGAUCUCGAGAGGAACACCGAUGGCGAAGGCAGCUUCUUUGUCCAUUCCUGACGUUGAAACACGAAAGCGUGGGGAGCAAACAGGAUUAGAUACCCUGGUAGUCCACGCCGUAAACGAUGAUCACUAGAUGUUGGCCCUGUUUUGCAGGGUUAGUAUCGAAGCUAACGCGUUAAGUGAUCCACCUGGGAACUACGAUCGCAAGAUUA
rnacentral:rRNA from 1 species